ACGGGAGGCAGCAGUGGGGAAUAUUGCACAAUGGGGGAAACCCUGAUGCAGCGACGCCGCGUGGAGGAAGAAGGUCUUCGGAUUGUAAACUCCUGUUGUCAGGGACGAUAAUGACGGUACCUGACAAGGAAGUGACGGCUAACUACGUGCCAGCAGCCGCGGUAAAACGUAGGUCACAAGCGUUGUCCGGAAUUACUGGGUGUAAAGGGAGCGCAGGCGGGGCAGCAAGUUGGAAGUGAAAUCUACGGGCUCAACUCGUAAACUGCUUUCAAAACUGUUGCUCUUGAGUAGUGCAGAGGUAGGCGGAAUUCCCGGUGUAGCGGUGGAAUGCGUAGAUAUCGGGAGGAACACCAGUGGCGAAGGCGGCCUACUGGGCACCAACUGACGCUGAGGCGCGAAAGCGUGGGGAGCAAACAGGAUUAGAUACCCUGGUA
rnacentral:rRNA from 1 species